GAUGAACGCUAGCUACAGGCCUAACACAUGCAAGUCGAGGGCCCGGCACACGGGUGAGUAAUACGUAUCCAUCCUCCCCUUUACUCGGUGAUAGCCUUUCGCAAGAACGAUUAAUACCCGAUAUAAAGGACGGGGAUGCGUUCCAUUGGGUGGUUGGUGAGGUAACGGCCCACCAAGCCUUCGCUGGAUAGGGUUUCGGAGAGGAAGGUCCCCCACAUUUGAACUGCGACACCGUCCAAAAUGUGACGGGAGGCAGGAGGGAGGAAUAUUGGUCAAUGGGGGCUGGCGUGAACCAGCCAAGUAGCGUGAAGAAUGAAGGCUUAUGGGUCGUAAACUUCUUUGAUAGAAGAAUAUGUAUUAUAAGAAUAAGGAUCGGCUAACUCCGUGCCAGCCGCCGCGGUAAUUC
rnacentral:rRNA from 1 species